GUAGGUGGCAAGCGUUGUCCGGAAUUAUUGGGCGUAAAGCGCGCGCAGGCGGUUCUUUAAGUCUGAUGUGAAAGCCCACGGCUCAACCGUGGAGGGUCAUUGGAAACUGGAGAACUUGAGUACAGAAGAGGAAAGCGGAGUUCCACGUGUAGCGGUGAAAUGCGUAGAGAUGUGGAGGAACACCAGUGGCGAAGGCGGCUUUUUGGUCUGUAACUGACGCUGAGGCGCGAAAGCGUGGGGAGCAAACAGGGAUUAGAUACCCUGGUAGUCCACGCCGUAAACGAUGAGUGCUAAGUGUUAGGGGGGUUUCCGCCCCCUUAGUGCUGCAGCUAACGCAUUAAGCACUCCGCCUGGGGAGUACGGCCGCAAGGCUG
rnacentral:rRNA from 1 species